GCCCGGGUGGCGGAACUGGUAGACGCGCUAGUUUCAGGUACUAGUAAUCGUAAGGUUGUGCAGGUUCAAGUCCUGUCUCGGGCACCA
rnacentral:tRNA from 1 species